rnacentral:rRNA from 1 species
GAUGAACGCUGGCGGCGUGCCUAAUACAUGCAAGUCGAGCGAACAGACGAGGAGCUUGCUCCUCUGACGUUAGCGGCGGACGGGUGAGUAACACUUGGAUAACCUACCUAUAAGACUGGGAUAACUUCGGGAAACCGGAGCUAAUACCGGAUAAUAUAUUGAACCGCAUGGUUCAAUAGUGAAAGACGGUUUUGCUGUCACUUAUAGAUGGAUCCGCGCCGCAUUAGCUAGUUGGUAAGGUAACGGCUUACCAAGGCGACGAUGCGUAGCCGACCUGAGAGGGUGAUCGGCCACACUGGAACUGAGACACGGUCCAGACUCCUACGGGAGGCAGCAGUAGGGAAUCUUCCGCAAAGGGCGAAAGCCUGACGGAGCAACGCCGCGUGAGUGAUGAAGGUCUUCGGAUCGUAAAACUCUGUUAUUAGGGAAGAACAAAUGUGUAAGUAACUAUGCACGUCUUGACGGUACCUAAUCAGAAAGCCACGGCUAACUACGUG